AUGUCCAUUCUCAAAACACCAUUUUUGAACUUAACACUGAAGUGCUGCAAAAACCUUAUUUUUUUUUACGAAAUUUGGCACAUGUGCCUGUGCCUGUCAGUUAAUUUGGGUGAGGACCUUCAUUUUGUGCAGCAGUCUGCAGCCCAGAUCCAUGAAAGCGACAUUGCUGCAAUAUUAUGGAAAUGUUCCUCAGAAACCGUGUGUCAACAUCGCAAAAAAAUUAUUAUUUUGAAACAAAUUGAUGGCAGCACGCCGAAACCAAAAUAUAGCAUCAAAAAUCAGUUCUUAAUUAGUUGACACUCCGUAGUUCCUGGACGACUCAAUGAAGAUGUCAGGCCGCAUUGACAAACUCCGAAAAUUGUUGCAGCUUUGAACUUGAUAUUUCGUUCAAGAUGUACGACGAACCUCGUUAGCUGUAUCAUAGACCUCAAUGGAGAUGUUGCAUGUGUGAGGGAUUCGCGAUUUGACCAGAGAUUCUUAUGUAAAAGUUCGCGAGAAACACAAUGGUGCCAGUGGUUUCCUCUGAAAUC
rnacentral:lncRNA from 1 species